UGCAGCUUCACGGAUCAGAAUAAUGUUUACUACAGUGUUUACUGCGGUACUAACAACCCCUACUGCUGUACUUCCGGUCUGAACAAAACGUGCUCGGCCAGUGUGUGUAGCGUCACUAGCAGCAAAACAACGUCCGAAUCAAUAUUACUAUUCUGGUUGAUUUUGGCGGGAGUUGGUGGAACGUUUUUUCUAGUUAUACUGGUCGCCUAUCUUAUUUGCUGGUAUCGCAAACCAAGAGACGACACCAGCGAUUCCGACAACGAGAUAUUUGAAGAAACCAUUUGCGAAACUCAGAUUCGAACUGUGACGACGCGAAAGCUUUCUCUACGAGAGGCCAUUCCAAACUUCUUUGUCCGCAGUGAGAACUCAAGGCGGGUUACCACGCGACACAAGUCUCGAGUUCCGGUGCGUGUUGUUGGACAGUUCGGAACACCGAGGCCAAACGGACCUACGGGCUCUUCAACAAAGCGGGAUAACUCUACCUUUCAUAGUCCAAGGGACAUAAUUCACGAACGUUCAGAUUCAAGGAAAGCCAUUCUUCAAACAAGAACUCACUUACCUGACGUCACCACGUGAACCCAUAGACAUUUUUAUAAUAUUUUAAAAAUAUAUAGUUUGUCUAAGGAUAUUGUGCGUUUUCCAAUCAGUUUGAGUUAAUCGUUUAGUUUCAUAACAGGAAUUAUGUCUUUGGAAUGGCGUAACAUGUGCAAGCGUUUUGUUUAUACCAUUCCAAAUUGCAAUCAAUAAAGCUAUAGGGUUAGAUGGCAUUAAUAUUUAUUACGGUCCAUUUGAGACCGUAACCAUUAAAUUAAAACGUAUCCCUGAUACUGGAAUAUGUGGUAAAUAGUUGUCCAUGAGUGUGAAAGAACAUCAAAGAUUACAAUACUUUCAUUGUGGCACUGGUACUCGACAGGCACGUAUAUUGAUCCCAUAUAUAAUAUAUUAUAUUGAUUAUUAACAGGCUUGUAAAACGUAUAGAAGAAUGCGAUAAAUGAGGCGUCUCUAUUUCAAAUAACUGGCAUGAUAUACUAUUUCAUCCUGUAAUCACUAUAUGUAUUGUCAAGAUAUGAUGACUAAAUGUCUAUAUUUUCCGUCACUGACAAACAAAUAUAGUGUUUUAGGACGGAACUACCUUUACACUAGUUAUGAUCAGCAAAGGCAUGUUAUAUUAUUCAAAGUUACUUAUUCAUUUAUUUUCAGUUGAUUAUUUUUAUUUAAAAACAAGUUUUGCAGACACUGUUUAAUUUAAAAAUAAGAAAUAAAUUGUUGUU